rnacentral:lncRNA from 1 species
UUAUUUGGCUGAUGGUUCUGCAGGCUGUAUAAGAAGCAUGGUGCCAGCAUCUACUUCUGGUGAGGAUUUUACGGAGCUUCCCCACUCAUAGCGGAAGGUGAAGGGGAGCUGGUGUGUGUGGAAACCACAUGGCCAGAGAGGAAGCAAGAGAUGGGGCAGGCACCAGGCUCAUUUUAACAACCAGCUCUGGUGAGAACGAAUAGAGUGAGAACUCACUCACUGCCCCGCCCACACACAGGGAGGGCAAUCAUCUAUUCAUGAGGGAUCUGCCCCAUGACCCAAACACCUCCCAUUAGACCCCACCUCCAACACUGGGAAUCAAAUUUCAACAUGAGAUUUGGAGAGAUCAAACAUCCAAACUAUUGCACUCAGGUUUCCUUAUCUUCCUCCCUGACUCACCAUCACACCAUCCCACUGUACCAUGAUGCCUACAGAAUUUCACAUUGCAGGUAAAUUUCUCCAGGAGCAGCACAUGAAUCCAGUACCAAUAUUUUAUCAAAUAUUUAUUUUUCAGAGACUAAGGCCAGGCAGUAUUGACUCGGAAGGCUGUGUGGGAGCUGGAGAACCAGGGUGUUGCUCUUUGGCCCAGGCUGAAGGGAGUACAGUGGUACCACCGUAGUUCACCGCAGCCUGCAAUUCGUGGAUUCAGGCCACCUUCCCACCUCAGCCUCUUGAGUAGCUGGGACUACAGGUUCCUAGAUGCUGGCAAUGCCAGGAUGGAUGAAUUACUUUCCUUGGCCCGGAGAGCCUCACCGUCUAGAAAGAGAUACAGACGUGCAAAUAAUUGCAAGAGAUUCCUCCAGGCAGCUGAGUGCACCUUCUGCAUACCUUUGAUAUCUAAUAUUCAAGUCAUAUCCCAGCCCUUGCUCCCCACAAGCAGACAGAACCAAGAAUUCUUCAACCUCUUCUGUCCUGAGACCCUGCCUGGGGCUCUCCUGAUUCUCUCAGCCACCAAGCUCACCUCCCAGUCUGUACUUUGGGCUUUUCCUCUCUCUGCAGGUAUGAAGUGGUCUACUCUGUUGCCGCAUCUUGUCUUGGGCUCUAUUAGGGGCUGAACCAUGUCCCCCACAAUCAAUCCUGAGUACCUCUGAAUGUAACCAUAUUUGGAGAUAAGAUCUUUAACGAGGUGAUUAAGUCAAAAUGAGGCCUUUAGGGUGGGGACCUAAUCCAAUAUGACUGGUGUCCUUACAAAAGAAGAGCCACCCGGGAUGCAUGCCUGCAUCACACACAGAAAAGGCCAUGUGGGGACGCAGGGAGAAGGCGGCCGGCUGCAAGCCAAGGAGAGAGGUCUCGGGAGAAACCAACACUGCCAAAAUCUUGAUCUUGGACUUCUAGCCUCCAGAACUGUGAGAAGGGUUUCUGGCUGAUAAAGGUAUAUAGGAGGUUCUGAAAUGUUAUUGAGUGAAUGAAUAAAUUAGCACUAGAAAAAAAGCAUGGACUUUGGAAGAGGACCAGAAUUUAAAACCAGACUAGAAGUGUAGAGUUGGGGGAACUCAACCCAUUUCCCACCACUUCCAUCGACCUCCUGUGGCAUCCUAAUGUUCAGAAGGAGAAGAACAUUCUAGAAGGAGAACAAAAUUCUAUCAGCAAGAAGUAUAAUACUCUUGUGCCAAAGGUGUGCACAAUCAGCCAAGUGACCUGAGAAAUGCAAGUCCUGGCUCUAUUGAGGUCAUCAAGGAGAAAGCAAGCCGCUGGCAAGUCAGGAAUCUGUCUCAAAGUAAACAUGUGGCUUGUGACCUUGAGGAUGUGCGUAUGUUUAUUGUUGGGGCAGUUGCUUUUUCCUUAUCUCUCACCAGCUCUCAAAAGACCUGUUUAAGUUUUCUGUAAGAGGAUAUAUCUCAUGUGCAGUUGCAAAUAUGCUUCUUUAUUCUUCUCUGGCUAAUAAUUAUCAAAGUUACAGUCAUGAAUAUUCACCUUCUCAGGCUGCUCUGUCAGAGAUUUUUCUGGGUGGGCAUGGUGGUUCACACCUGUAAUUCCAGCACUUUGGGAGGCGGAGG